GCCCGUGGCCUCGGAGGGGAAAUGCCGGCCGGUCGAGGGGUUGUCCAUGUGGGAGACCUGACCUCGCCAGCAGGUUUGCCCUCUGGAGGUGGCAGGGUAGCCUCCAGACCCGUCUGCCUACUGUUUAAGCCUGGGAACUCAGACUAAAAAACAAAUCAAAACCUCAAGCAAGAAGCGAAGCAGUGUGUUUUCUAAGAAGCCAGAAGAAUCCAAAACAUUUUGGUGGGGGUAGGGAACAGGGUGAUGCUUUGUGGCGGCUUCGGGGGAAGGGAAGGGUGCUUCUUUUGCCUUUUUGGAAACGUAGAGAGUAAUCGCCUCUGCAACUUAUUCUUCCCCUCUCCUGAAGUUCUUCGACCGAGGAACGGGCUAGGUUCGUCUUCCUCGGGAAUUCUAGCAUCCUACCUGGAAGCUUAACUUUCGGUCCUGCAAUCACAAGGGAAGAGCUGAAUCAGCAAAUAGAAUGCAGGAAAGCUCGGGACGAGAUGGCUGCUGCUGCUGCUUCUGAGGUGUCUCCAGGUCAUUUACCUCUCCUCCAACUGCGAAGGCUCCACGGUGCUAAGCUUACAGCACUUAAAUCCAGGCCACAUGAUGCCCCCCGAGUUUCUGCCGGAUUCACGGUGUAAAGAAUACGUUUACGUCCUGCCAACGGUAUCCUAUGCUAGUAUCAACGAAUACAGAUUACGCUCACGCAAUGACGUGAACUAGGGUUGAUCCUGAAGGUCUGUAUUUUAUUCCUUUUACUACUUCUUCAACGUUUUGUCGCUGACUACGAAUGGACUGGAGAGGAUAAAAUAUUCCCUGCUUUGGCACUUUGGGGUACCUGUAGGUUUUCCUCACCAAUUGUGUCAUUUCAUUGUUCAUUAACCACAGCGAGAGGAUAUUAAGUUAUCUGUGCCACACCUGACGUUAGUAGUAUGAAAUGACUGAAAAAACAAAUUCAGUUCUUAUUAAGAGGUGACUUUAAGCGGGGUUACACAUUAGAUGGAAAAAGAAUAAUAUGCUAGCAUAUGGAAAUUCCUCUCUAGGGUUCAGGUCAUACCUUUUUUUCUGCAUGGUGUUUGUCAAGGGCUAUGCGCUAGGCACCGUACUAAGUGCUGGGGCAGAUGCAAGAUAAUCAGCAUGGAUACAGUCCCUUUUCCUACGUAGG